CAGCGAGCACGUGAGCGCAGAGCCAGCUCCGGAGCGCUACGGCGCGCGUGGCGGCACACCUGCUCCCCGAGGCUGAUCGUUAACAGCCGUGGGCAGGGGUUGGGCCAGGGUACAGCUGUCAGGACCUCACUGGACAGGACCGGAGAGGACCCCGCGUAACCGCGGAACAGACACUCCCGGCAGCGGCCGCCGCCGCGGCACUGCUACGGGACGAGCCGGAGCGCUUGGCCAUGGCGGCCCGAUCCGCACUGGCGCUGCUGCUGCUGCUGCCAGUCCUGCUCCUGCCGGUGCAGAGCCGCUCAGAGCCCGAGACCACCGCGCCCACCCCUACCCCAAUCCCGGGUGGCAACUCGUCAGUGAGCAGGCCCCUGCCCAGCAUCGAGCUCCACGCCUGCGGCCCAUACCCCAAACCAGGCCUGCUCAUCCUGCUGGCCCCGCUGGCCCUGUGGCCCAUUCUCCUGUAGGGACGCCCAGCCAGCCACCUCUAAGUCGCCGCUGGGACUGGCCUGCCCCAUUGAGCAACAGAGACGCUUGACAGCCGCCCGCCUCCAUUCCUUGACUUCACCCAGAAAUGGGUCCAGAAAACUGAAUCCCACCAGCACUGGUUUGGAGCAACCGGACACCGAGGUUUCACCUCCAGGGAUUCCAUGAAGAGCCUCAAUGGAGAUGCCACAUCCUACUGAGUUAAAGAUGGGCUGAGGAACUUGGGUACCCACAAGUCUGCCUUGGGAAUCAAAAGAAAAUAUUUACCUUUAGUUUGGUUCAUUAAAUGCAUGAAGUCAAAAUAUGACCAGAGACACCCCUUCCUGCCUCACCACCUCUCAGCUGGAACGUCAGGCUGGAGACAUGACCCAAGGAGCCAAGCCCGAGAAGGAAACGUGCACCCUGAAACAGCGGGAUGCAGAACCCUGAAACAGCGGGAUGCAGAACCCUGAAACAGCAGGAUGCAGAACCCUGAAACAGCGGGAUGGAGAGACAGAAGCCUCGGGAAACGUGGACGACAAUGGUAAGACCUAGUUCCAGAGUCACAGCAUGAAACGCAAGAGGCGGCAGAAAAACCCACAAGUCAGAGAACAGCAGCUGUGUGGCCCAGAGGGCUCGGCACCCACAGAAAGCCGGGUCCUCUCUUCCUCUUGUCAAGGACGUCAGGCAGAGGCCUGUGGAAACCUGCCAAUGGGAGCAGUCGCCAGACCUAGAAGAGCCAAGCCCGGUGUGCCCUCGCCUGGAGUUGUGAGAAAAGUCCCUGUAGCCCCAGAUCUAGGGCCUCCAACACUCUCCUACCCGAGACUCCUACCCGAGGCUGCCCUGGGAACUGGUGAGAAAAGCCAAAGUGCACCCCAGCAAAGUGCCUGGAUCAGUCCAGUUCCUGAAGCCAAGUGCCGGUGGGGCGAGGUCCAGGCACAGAAUGGGCAGUGGCCAU
rnacentral:lncRNA from 1 species